rnacentral:lncRNA from 1 species
CCUAGAGGAAGCUCUCCGUAGAGGCCACGUGCUGGGUGUCCAUCACCCUUUGUCCCGCCUCUGGGAAGGUCUGAGAGAAGGGCCAAGUUUGCCACCCUAGAGGGGUGCCACCUUCUGAAGGUGGGGGAGUUCCCAGGAAUCCCAGCAAUGCACCCAGACAGAAAAAGACAUUCACAUAGG